rnacentral:rRNA from 1 species
UAGUAACUGCGAGUGAAGCGGGAAGAGCUCAAAUUUGAAAUCUGGCAGUUUUUAACUGUCUGAGUUGUAAUCUAGAGAAGUGUUACCUGUGCUGGACCAUGUAAAAGUCUCCUGGAAUGGAGCAUCAUAGAGGGUGAGAAUCCCGUCUUUGACAUGGACUGCCAGUAUGUUAUGGUAUGCUCUCAAAGAGUCGAGUUGUUUGGGAAUGCAGCUCAAAAUGGGUGGUAAAUGCCAUCUAAAGCUAAAUAUUGGCGAGAGACCGAUAGCGAACAAGUACCGUGAGGGAAAGAUGAAAAGAACUUUGGAAAGAGAGUUAAACAGUACGUGAAAUUGCUGAAAGGGAAACGCUUGAAGUCAGUCAUGUUGUCCAGAAAUCAGCCUUGCUUUUGCUUGGUGUACUUUCUGGUUUGACAGGUCAGCAUCAAUUUUGACUGCUGGAUAAAGUCUUUGGGAAUGUGGCAUCUUUGGAUGUGUUAUAGCCCAUUUGUCGCAUACAGUGGUUGGGAUUGAGGAACUCAGCACGCCACAAAGGCCGGGUUUUGACCACGUUCGUGCUUAGGAUGCUGGCAUAAUGGCUUUAAUCGACCCGUCUUGAAACACGGACCAAGGAGUCUAACAUGCCUGCAAGUGUUUGGGUGGAAAACCCAUGCGCGUAAUGAAAGUGAAAGUUAAGAUCCUUUCAAAGGAGCAUUGACGCCCAGACCAGACCUUUUGUGACGGAUCUGCGGUAGAGCAUGUAUGUUGGGACCCGAAAGAUGGUGAACUAUGCCUGAAUAGGGUGAAGCCAGAGGAAACUCUGGUGGAGGCUCGUAGCGAUUCUGACGUGCAAAUCGAUCGUC